AAUUUCCAACUACCCAUGUGGAAUGACUUGAUCAGAUACAAAUCUGAUAAUUUGCUCAGGCCCACUUCCGAGUGGCCAGACCAUGGUUUGAUCUAUGACCACGGCUGUACCAACCAUGGUAGUCCUAACAGAUAUCUAUAGUCAUGACAUUACUUAGCCACAGGUGACCCCUAUAUAUAGUGCGAUACCACUCUCGUCAGAGGGCACGCUGUCAUCCACUGGGAAUGGUCAUCUUAUGUCUUUUCAGAUCAGAUAGGGGAGGAAGAAAUAGAUACCCCUCAGAGAUAAAAAGCCUAACGAGAUACUUAAUGCAAUAUGCAUGCUAAUAUAGAUACACUUCAAACUAUACAGGCUUCAUUCCAUUUUUCUCUUUUUCUUUUCUUUUAACUUUUACUAUUACGGAUUAUAUUACAUUUAUUACAUGCAAAUUCAUCAAG
rnacentral:lncRNA from 1 species